GUGAGGAAUAUUGCACAAUGGGCGAAAGCCUGAUGCAGCAACGCCGCGUGAGGGACGAAGGCCUUCGGGUUGUAAACCUCUUUUCUGAGAGACGAGACAAGGACGGUACCUCAGGAAUAAGUCUCGGCUAACUACGUGCCAGCAGCCGCGGUAAGACGUAGGAGGCGAGCGUUAUCCGGAUUUACUGGGCGUAAAGCGCACGCAGGCGGCUUCGUUAGUCGGAUGUGAAAGCUCCUGGCUUAACUGGGAGAGGCCAUUCGAUACUGCGAGGCUUGAGGUUGGGAGAGGGGUGUGGAAUUCCCGGUGUAGUGGUGGAAUGCGUAGAUAUCGGGAGGAACACCUGUGGCGAAAGCGGCACCCUGGCCCACACCUGACGCUGAGGUGCGAAAGCGUGGGUAGCAAACAGGAUUAGAUACCCCUGUAGUCC
rnacentral:rRNA from 1 species